UACGGAGGGGGCGAGCGUUGUUCGGAAUUAUUGGGCGUAAAGCGCGUGUAGGCGGCUACGUAAGUCUGAUGUGAAAGCCCCGGGCUCAACCUGGGAAGUGCAUUGGAAACUGGGGAACUUGAAUACGGGAGAGGGUAGUGGAAUUCCUGGUGUAGGAGUGAAAUCCGUAGAUAUCAGGAGGAACACCGGUGGCGAAGGCGGCUGCCUGGACCGAUAUUGACGCUGAGACGCGAAAGCGUGGGGAGCAAACAGG
rnacentral:rRNA from 1 species